rnacentral:snoRNA from 1 species
AGUGGAAUUAUGACUCUGAAUAAUGAUAGAAUAUAAAAUGAUUUAUUUUGUCUCUCAUAUAAUUCCUAUAGAAAUAUUGAAGUUCUCUGAAAGAGAGAUGUGAGCUUUUUCUCUCUUUUCGUUCAACUUCUGACAUG